CCUACGGGUGGCAGCAGUGGGGAAUAUUGGGCAAUGGAGGAAACUCUGACCCAGCAACGCCGCGUGCAUGAUGAAGGCUUUCGGAGUGUAAAGUUCUUUUUUUAGGGAAGUAGAAAGUGACGGUACUUUCGGACUAAGACUAGGCUACCUACGUGCCAGCAGCCGCGGCAAUACGGAGGCGGCGGGCGUUCUCCGGAUUGACUGGGCGUAAAGGGUGCGUAGGUGGUUGGGCAAGUUAGUAGGGAAACUCCUAGGCUCAACCUUGGAACUGCUACUAAUACUGUUGGACUUGAGUGCAGGAGAGGCAAGCGGAAUGCCUAGUGUAGCGGUGAAAUGCGUAGAGAUUA
rnacentral:rRNA from 1 species